rnacentral:misc_RNA from 1 species
GGAAUCUUUGUUGUUACUGGAAAAAAUAAAUAAGGAAAAAUGUAUUCAGUAGAAAUUGAUCCCUGAACCUCCCAGUAAAAAAGUUUUGAUUCUAUAUAUUGUUCUUGUUCCUAUUCCUAUUCUAACACUAUUAAGUGUGUGUGUAAACACCACUCACAAGUAUCACCUAAUUGAAGCUUCAAAAGCUAUCUCCACCAAUCUGGCACUUUAAGC